rnacentral:rRNA from 1 species
CCCUAGUAACUGCGAGUGAAGCGGGAAAAGCUCAAAUUUAAAAUCUGGCGGUCUCCGGCCGUCCGAGUUGUAAUCUAGAGAAGUGUUAUCCGCGCUGGACCGUGUACAAGUCUCCUGGAAUGGAGCGUCAUAGAGGGUGAGAAUCCCGUCUUUGACACGGACUGCCAGGGCUUUGUGAUGCGCUCUCAAAGAGUCGAGUUGUUUGGGAAUGCAGCUCAAAAUGGGUGGUAAAUUCCAUCUAAAGCUAAAUAUUGGCGAGAGACCGAUAGCGAACAAGUACCGUGAGGGAAAGAUGAAAAGAACUUUGGAAAGAGAGUUAAACAGUACGUGAAAUUGCUGAAAGGGAAACGCUUGAAGUCAGUCGCGUUGGCCGGGGAUCAACCUUGCUUUUGCUGGGUGUACUUUCCGGUCGACGGGUCAGCAUCAAUUUUGACCGUUGGAUAAAGUUCAGGGGAAUGUGGCAUCUUCGGAUGUGUUAUAGCCCUUGGUCGCAUACAACGAUUGGGAUUGAGGAACUCAGCACGCCGCAAGGCCGGGUACUUGUACCACGUUCGUGCUUAGGAUGCUGGCAUAAUGGCUUUAAUCGACCCGUCUUGAAACACGGACCAAGGAGUCUAACAUGCCUGCGAGUGUUUGGGUGGAAAACCCGGGCGCGUAAUGAAAGUGAAAGUUGAGAUCCCUGUCGCGGGGAGCAUCGACGCCCGGACCAGACCUUUUGUGACGGAUCCGCGGUAGAGCAUGUAUGUUGGGACCC